UACGUAGGGGGCAAGCGUUGUCCGGAUUUAUUGGGCGUAAAGAGCGUGUAGGCGGCCAAGCAGGUCAGCUGUGAAAACUCGGGGCUCAACCUCGAGACGUCGGUUGAAACCGCUUGGCUAGAGUCCGGAAGAGGAGAGUGGAAUUCCCGGUGUAGCGGUGAAAUGCGCAGAUAUCGGGAAGAACACCCGUGGCGAAGGCGGCUCUCUGGGACGGUACUGACGCUGAGACGCGAAAGCGUGGGGAGCGAACAGG
rnacentral:rRNA from 1 species